rnacentral:rRNA from 1 species
GAUGAACGCUGGCGGCGUGCCUAAUACAUGCAAGUCGAGCGAACGGACGAGAAGCUUGCUUUUCUGAUGUUAGCGGCGGACGGGUGAGUAACACGUGGAUAACCUACCUAUAAGACUGGGAUAACUUCGGGAAACCGGAGCUAAUACCGGAUAAUAUUUUGAACCGCAUGGUUCAAAAGUGAAAGACGGUCUUGCUGUCACUUAUAGAUGGAUCCGCGCUGCAUUAGCUAGUUGGUAAGGUAACGGCUUACCAAGGCAACGAUGCAUAGCCGACCUGAGAGGGGACGCGCCCACACUGAAACGGAGACCCGCCCCAGCCUCCACGGGGGGGAGCCGGAGGGGAAUCUUCCGAAAGGGGCGAAGGCCUGAGGGAGCACCCCCGGGGGAGUGAUGAUGGUUUUGGUAUCGAAAAACUUUUUUAUGAGGAAAAAACAUAUUUGAAAGAAAUUGUGCACAUCUUGAGGGACCCAAAUAAGAAACCCAGGGCAAACUCCGUG